rnacentral:rRNA from 1 species
AUUGAACGCUGGCGGCAUGCCUUACACAUGCAAGUCGAACGGUAACGCGGGGCAACCUGGCGACGAGUGGCGAACGGGUGAGUAAUGCAUCGGAACGUGCCCAGUAGUGGGGGAUAGCCCGGCGAAAGCCGGAUUAAUCCCGCAUACGACCUAUGGGUGAAAGCGGGGGAUCGGAAGACCUCGCGCUAUUGGAGCGGCCGAUGGCAGAUUAGGUUGUUGGGGGGGUAAAAGCCUACCAAGCCUGCGAUCUGUAGCUGGUCUGAGAGGACGACCAGCCACACUGGGACUGAGACACGGCCCAGACUCCUACAGGAGGCAGCAGUGGGGAAUUUUGGACAAUGGGCGCAAGCCUGAUCCAGCCAUGCCGCGUGCGGGAAGAAGGCCUUCGGGUUGUAAACCGCUUUUGUCAGGGAAGAAAUCCUCUGGGUUAAUACCUCGGGGGGAUGACGGUACCUGAAGAAUAAGCACCGGCUAACUACGUGCCAGCAGCCGCCGUAAUAC